rnacentral:rRNA from 1 species
AUGAUCGAAUGUCGAUGCAAAAUUUGCUUGAAAAAUCUAACUCCAAUCGUGAUGUCUACGAAUGUAUGGGAGAAACAUACUGGUUGCCGCCAAAAGAAUUGGAAGAAGAGUAUUAAGCUCAAGGGCACUGAGAAGCCUCUCUUUAAAUUCCUUGAAGAGAUUCCUGAAGGAACUGGCAUAUCUUCUAUUGCAAGUGAAAUUCAGCAGGUUUCUUCUGUUGAUACAUCUGACCAGCCAGCUGCUGAAACAUCCUACCAGCAAGCUGCUGAAACAUCUGAGCUAGCUGCUGUUACAUCUGAUCAGCCGUCUGCAAGCCUCUCUUAUGCGAUGUCGGGAAACAAGCAGUCGCAAAAAUCAAAAGUCUGCAUCUUACAUGAUUAUGAUAGGAUGAAGUCCCAUCAGGAUAAGGACACUGAUCAUAAAUAUGAAAAGGCAUCUAGGAUUUCUUAA